GAUGAAGAACGUAGCGAAAUGCGAUAAGUAAUGAGAAUUGCAGAAUCCAGUGAAUCAUCGAAUCUUUGAACGCACAUUGCGCCCGCCAGCACUCUGGCGGGCAUGCCUGUUCGAGCGUCAUUUCAACCAUCAAGCCCCAGGCUUGCGUUGGAGCCCUGCGGCUGCCGCAGCCUCCUAAAAGCAGUGGCGGGCUCGCUAUCACACCGAGUGCAGUAGAUUACUCUUCGCUCAGGGCGUGCAGCGGGUUCCGGCCGUGAAACCCCCUACUUUUAAAGGUUGACCUCGGAUCAGGUAGGAAUACCCGCUGAACUUAAGCAUAUCAAUAAGCGGAGGA
rnacentral:misc_RNA from 1 species